rnacentral:rRNA from 1 species
UAAUACGAAGGGGGCUAGCGUUGUUCGGAAUUACUGGGCGUAAAGCGCACGUAGGCGGGUUUGUAAGUAGGGGGUGAAAUCCCAGGGCUCAACCCUGGAACUGCCUUCUAAACUGCAAGCCUGGAGGUCAGGAGAGGCGAGUGGAAUACCGAGUGUAGAGGUGAAAUUCGUAGAUAUUCGGUGGAACACCAGUGGCGAAGGCGACUCGCUGGACUGAUACUGACGCUGAGGUGCGAAAGCGUGGGGAGCAAACAGG